rnacentral:rRNA from 1 species
CGAUUAGUUUUUUUGGUACGGCCAACAACCGUAAUGUACGGUUGUGGGACAAGAGCCCGGGAUGGUUCUGAACACGAUCAGGCCAUACGGGCGCAUCAGGCGCGAAUACUUUACAAGGCGGGAAACUGUGAUAGGGGAACUCCGAGUGCCCGUUAAAUCGGGCUGUCCAUUGGUUUAAAUAACCAGUGAAGUAAGGUCCGGGCAAGACCGGUGCCAGCCUCCGCGGUAAUACCGUCGGCUCGAGUGGUGUCCACUAUUACUGGGCUUAAAGCGUUCGUAGCUGGUUUGUUAAGUCUCUGGGGAAAUCUUCCGGCUUAACCGGAAGGCGUCUCAGGGAUACUGGCAGACUAGGGACCGGGAGAGGUGAGGGGUACUCCAGGGGUAGGAGUGAAAUCCUGUAAUCCUUGGGGGACCACCUGUGGCGAAGGCGCCUCACCAGAACGGCUCCGACAGUGAGGGACGAAAGCUGGGGGAGCAAACCGGAUUAGAUACCCGGGUAGUCCCAGCUGUAAACGAUGUGCGUUAGGUGUAUCGGUGACCACGAGUCACCGAGGUGCCGAAGAGAAAUCGUGAAACGUACCGCCUGGGAAGUACG